rnacentral:rRNA from 1 species
UACGUAGGGUGCGAGCGUUAAUCGGAAUUACUGGGCGUAAAGCGUGCGCAGGCGGUUCGUUGUGUCGGUGGUGAAAUCCCCGGGCUUAACCUGGGAAUGGCCAUGGAAACUGGCGAACUGGAGUGCGGCAGAGGGGGGUGGAAUUCCGCGUGUAGCAGUGAAAUGCGUAGAGAUGCGGAGGAACACCGAUGGCGAGGGCAGCCCCCUGGGCUAGCACUGACGCUCAGGCACGAAAGCGUGGGGAGCAAACAGG